rnacentral:rRNA from 1 species
AACGCUGGCGGCAGGCUUACACAUGCAAGUCGAGCGGUAACAUUUCUAGCUUGCUAGAAGAUGACGAGCGGCGGACGGGUGAGUAACGCGUAGGAAUCUGCCUAGUAGUGGGGGACAACAUGUGGAAACGCAUGCUAAUACCGCAUACGCCCUACGGGGGAAAGGAGGGGAUCUUCGGACCUUUCGCUAUUAGAUGAGCCUGCGUGAGAUUAGCUAGUUGGUGGGGUAAAGGCCUACCAAGGCGACGAUCUCUAGCUGGUCUGAGAGGAUGAUCAGCCACACUGGGACUGAGACACGGCCCAGACUCCUACGGGAGGCAGCAGUGGGGAAUAUUGGACAAUGGGCGCAAGCCUGAUCCAGCCAUGCCGCGUGUGUGAAGAAGGCCUUAGGGUUGUAAAGCACUUUCAGGAGUGAGGAAGGGCGUAUAGUUAAUACCUGUAUGUUUUGACGUUAACUCCAGAAGAAGCACCGGCUAACUCUGUGCCAGCAGCCGCGGUAAUACAGAGGGUGCGAGCGUUAAUCGGAAUUACUGGGCGUAAGGCGCGCGUANGCGGUUUGUUAAGUCGGAUGUGAAAUCCCAGGGCUCAACCUUGGAAUGGCACCCGAUACUGG